rnacentral:rRNA from 1 species
UCCAGACUCCUACGGGAGGCAGCAGUGGGGGAUAUUGCACAAUGGGGGAAACCCUGAUGCAGCGACGCCGCGUGAGUGAAGAAGUAUUUCGGUAUGUAAAGCUCUAUCAGCAGGGAAGAAAAAAGACGGUACCUGACUAAGAAGCCCCGGCUAACUACGUGCCAGCAGCCGCGGUAAUACGUAGGGGGCAAGCGUUAUCCGGAUUUACUGGGUGUAAAGGGAGCGUAGACGGCAAUACAAGUCGGAAGUGAAAUACCCGGGCUCAACCUGGGAACUGCUUUGGAAACUGUAUGGCUGGAGUGCUGGAGAGGUAAGCGGAAUUCCUAGUGUAGCGGUGAAAUGCGUGGAUAUUAGGAGGAACACCAGUGGCGAAGGCGGCUUACUGGACAGUAACUGACGUUGAGGCUCGAAAGCGUGGGGAGCAAACAGGAUUAGAUACCCCGGUA